CAUUUUUGUGCUGCCUAGUAAACAGCAGCUGGAGGAAGGUGCAUCAUGGGAAACAAGAUCAGCAGGAGACGGGACACCGCACCAGCUGAGCAGGAGGCUGCAGAGGAGGCAAUCGACACGCAGGAAGCUGUGGUGGAGGCAGUACCUGAUGAGCCAGUGGUGGUUGCAGAGGCGACUGAACCAGUAGUAGAAUCAGUGCCAGCACCGGUACAGGAGGCUGAGCCAGAGCCCCCCAAGCAGCCAGAGACGGAGCCCCCAUUGGAGAAGCCGGUGAGCGCCCCACUGGUAGACCUUGCACCAGCGCCGACCCCAGCACCGCCUGAACCCGAGCCCCUGGUGUCAGUCAGCAAACCGGUGUCAGUCAGCAAACCGGUGCCAGUCGGCCCAGAGCCAGUCGUGCCAGUCGGCCCAGAGCCAGUCGUGCCAGUCGGCCCAGAGCCAGUCGUGCCAGUCGGCCCAGAGCCAGUCGUGCCAGUCGGCCCAGAGCCAGUCGUGCCAGUCGGCCCAGAGCCAGUCGUGCCAGUCGUCCCAGAGCCAAAGCCAGUCGUCCCAGAGCCAAAGCCAGUCGUCCCAGAGCCAAAGCCAGUCGUCAUAGAACAUGAGGCUAUCCCAGAGCCCUUCCUCUGCCCCGCCCAUCUUCUGGACCUGGGUGUCCCUGAGCUGACCCCUGAGCCCCUCGAUGCUCCCCCCUCUCACAGAUCUGCCCCAGACCAGCCCACAGACCUGGGGGAUGCAGAAUGCUAUGACGACAACGUAAAGGCUGCCUGGAAUUCUGUCUCCGUCCCGGAAGAGUCCAAAGAAUCCCCGGAGAAGCCAGCGACCAUGGCAGAGCAGCUUCUGUGUGAUGUCAGGGGCAGUGAGCUGAGCAAAGCAGACUCUUCAAGCACUUAGACCUGACGGCCGACGACAUCAUGGUCAAUGACGUCAAUACAGACGACAUUCCGGAAGGUGACAUGUCCACUGAGCUGAUAUGAGAUGGGCGGAGAAAAUGUAUUUAAAAAAAAUAAAUAAAAAAAAUAAACAGAACAAUGACGUUCUGAAAAAGGCAGACGCAGCAGAAAAAAAAUGCAUUAAAAAAAUAAUACAACUUUGAUCUGAGAAGGCUAAAGGGAAAACUAAGCAGCUUAAGGAGACUGUGAAGUAGCACUCAGAUAAUCUGAGACCUGGGAUAUAUUCACUAGUAACCAAACAGAACCAAGCGUACGCAAACGGAAUGAAACUGGGUGGGACUUACCUGAAAUUGUCCAAUAGAUAUUCUAGUUUCCGUUGCCGAACCAUUUUGGAAUAAUGAUUAGACCCCAGGUAAUACAGACGUGCCUUUUCUUUCUGAGUGUAUGUUGACUAAAGGGAUGUGGUGAUGGGUGGCCAGGGCAGGAGAGUGAGUACCAAUCAUCGCCCUCUGAGCCAUAUAGACAUAACACUGCAUAGCAGAACACUUACAGUAACUAUAUAUGGUAACUAUGUAUGACAAUACGUUUGCCUUGGUGUGUACACCUGAUGAAUUGUAACAACAUUUGAAAUCGGCCUACAUGCUAUGAUGUACAUUCAUGCUUGGACUCUCACAAUCCUUCCUCUUUAACUCUGAAACGGAAGUGACCUUAUAUUUUCUUGAUGGUGAGAAGUGGUUUGGAGGAAUGUAUUAAAGGUGAUGGUCUGGUUGUGAAAAUAAAAUAUUGUUCCACCUUG
rnacentral:lncRNA from 1 species